AGCUAAGACCAGCUACAAAGUGAACAUACACACCUUAGAGAGAGCAUAGGUCACACAGAGUACAAAAAUAUUUUACUAUUACGUAAAAUAAUGUAAGUUGUCUUAUAUAUUGAUCUUUGAUAUUAUUGUAGGUUUUGUUGUGGGUUCAGGGCAUCUUGAAGUACACUAUGAAUGACGUCAGAUAGAUCUAUUGCGAGUGACAACAUUUGAAUUAUCUGGCACGAGGAGUCACACGUCAUACUUCAACUGACACAACGGAGACGGUGGUAAAAGAGGUUAAAACUCCUUUAAAUUUCGAAUUUUUUUAUACUAAAUCCCAUUUAUUUUGUAGUUAAUUGUUGGAUAAGGUCGUAAUUUCGUCAAGUUUUCGUUACAGGGUAAGAUUUCUUUACCAUAUACAGUAUUUAUAUUGGUUCAAGUGUGCAGUUUGAUAAGGUUUGUAUUUCCUUUGUAUAGGAAAUUUGUUAGCCAUAUUUAAGUUAGUACAUUUUGGUAUCGUAUGUAAGCUUCGCUUUAGUUCAAUGUUAGAGUAAAUGUAUAAGGUUUUAUAUUAAUAUUCAUCCGCAGCGGGUAAGUGCGCGAGCUCAUACGGCCGUUACUCAAGCGGAAGGCUGCAGCCUCUGGAGGUCGCGUGUCUUAUUUCAGAAUAUUAACAAGUAUAAAUUUGACUAUUAUUCUUAGUUAAUCGUAAAUUGUUGUAAUAUGCUUAUGACUUGCGAAUGUAAUGCUCAGUUAACUUAAUAAACCAGGCUUGGUGACGUAUACAGCCUGCCUAUGCGACCUCCGGAGGAUGCAGCCUUCCGUUUGAGAAACGGCCUACAUGUGUACCGAGGGCGAGCGUGCACGAAAUUCUGUCUGAAUUGAUUCUUCAAUAAUGGCAAAGCAAACAUUUUCUGUCGUGAUGAUUAAACACAUUUUAAAGUUUAAAUUAAAACUCCUACCUUUCCAGGGGUUUCUGUUCCUGCAGUCUUCCAGCGACACUUCAGUCGUGUGUGUACUUGCUUGCCGCGUAUGACCAUACGGACACGAACAAUAUACCGCCACCUACUGUACUGUAGUAAAAUGACGUGUAUGAUUGAAUACGGUGGCACAGGCAGUAAAAAUAGCCCUGUAAGUCAUUGUAAAAAUUGGCUAAAUCACCAAAAUAAGUUUGUAGAUGUGGUUCAUUAAUUUUUCAUAACUAUGCAGCAUAAUGAAUCAGCCUGAAUUUAUUUAGCCUAUAAAAAUAUAUUUUUUAACUUUAUUUUUAAACCUUUAUAUGCUUUUAUAUGGUAUAUGGUUAAACCCUUAUAUGGUAGCAGUUUAAUUGAAUAAAAAUCUUAAAUUGAAUCAAAUCUCUUGUAAUAAUAAAAAAGCUCUUAAUUAUCUGCGAGGAUUGGGGGUACAUCUGGGUAACAUUUUAACAUUUAAGCAGCUUCCUUUUUAUAUUAUUUUACAUAAUUUGAUGUGUAUAUAUAUUAACUUAUCUUUAUUUAGUUUUCUCAGCCUUUAAACAUCUGACUGAUAAAUGUGUAGUGUACUACAAAAAGGUAAGUUCAGCACCAGAUCCGCUUAUGUUAUACUGUAAUGACCUCUGUGUAUGACAUGUGCUAUACAAAUAAACUUGCCUUGCCUUGUAAGAUUGAUACUGGUUUGAGAAAAACUAAGAUUUAAACAACCAAAUGUUUCCAGUGCAACAUGAAAAAACAUUGAAAAACAAUUUUCAGCCUAAGGUUAGACAAUGUAGCCAAUGGUCCUCUAUAAAUUUUGGUACAAUGGUACAUUUCCUUUGUGUACUGCAAGCUGAACUUACCGAUUUAUAUGGACUUUACUUACAAGUUUUCUGUGCUAUGUUGCUCCAUUUCACGGAGCAAAAUAAGUCUGAGGUAGCACCAUCCUUGUGGUUUGAGUUGAACAAUGGGGGUAUUGAGACCAAAAUGAACAAUGUGCCACUCUAGACAGCUGUGGACAAAAUAUGCAUUCAGAGUAUUUUCUCAAACAGAGAGAGAAUUCCAGGCCAAAAGGACUCAACAGAGACAACAUUAUGAGGAGCAACCAGUACAUCAAAGCAAAAAGAUGCUAUGAUAUUGUCUGAGGCACCUUAUUUUCCAUGUCCUUCACAAUCACAACUGCAGCACACCAGUCAAUUUCUGCCAUUCAGAAGAAUCAGAAAGAAAUCUUGGAUUGGAAAAUCAUUCUGAAAGUAGACUAAAUUCAGGACAACAUCACAGCAGUGGUCGGAAAAACAUCAGUCAAUGAGCAAGCCAAGCUAACUUUCAAAAGAUGAUUUGUUAUCUGUCUUCAGAGGGACGGCAGCUUGGAGGAUGCUACAGCUACACAGGGAGAAUUUCAGCAGCUCAGUUUCAUACUUGCAACUAAUAAUGAAUAAUAGUUAGAAGACAGCGGAAAGAAUUGACAUCGCAGAGACACACACCAAGAGACACGCACACACACGCAGCUGAAGCGAGUUUGACUGACGCCCAUGGGAGAUCGGGCACCGUGCACGCACGCACAAACAUGGAGCACAGCAUAAUUACAACUGUUGGAUUAAAAUAAAAGUACUUUGUGGUAUACAAUGUUUCUCGUGUCUGUUUUCAUUGGUUAGCAGGGAAAUAAAAUGACUUGCUGAGGACUUUAGGCGAACGUCCCCUAAAAGUCCCAAAAG